rnacentral:rRNA from 1 species
GGGGUACUCGAGUGGCGAACGGGUGAGUAACACGUGGGUGAUCUGCCCUGCACUUUGGGAUAAGCCUGGGAAACUGGGUCUAAUACCGAAUAUGACCGCGCACUUCCUGGUGUGUGGUGGAAAGCUUUUGCGGUGUGGGAUGGGCCCGCGGCCUAUCAGCUUGUUGGUGGGGUAAUGGCCUACCAAGGCGACGACGGGUAGCCGGCCUGAGAGGGUGACCGGCCACACUGGGACUGAGAUACGGCCCCAGACUCCUACGGGAGGCAGCAGUGGGGAAUAUUGCACAAUGGGCGCAAGCCUGAUGCAGCGACGCCGCGUGAGGGAUGACGGCCUUUCGGGUUGUAAACCUCUUUCAAUAGGGACGAAGCGCAAGUGACGGUACCUAUAGAAGAAGGACCGGCCAACUACGUGCCAGCAGCCGCGGUAAUACGUAGGGUCCGAGCGUUGUCCGGAAUUACUGGGCGUAAAGAGCUCGUAGGUGGUUUGUCGCGUUGUUCGUGAAAACUCACAGCUUAACUGUGGGCGUGCGGGCGAUACGGGCAGACUAGAGUACUGCAGGGGAGACUGGAAUUCCUGGUGUAGCGGUGGAAUGCGCAGAUAUCAGGAGGAACACCGGUGGCGAAGGCGGGUCUCUGGGCAGUAACUGACGCUGAGGAGCGAAAGCGUGGGGAGCGAACAGGAUUAGAUACCCUGGUAGUCCACGCCGUAAACGGUGGGUACUAGGUGUGGGUUUCCUUCCUUGGGAUCCGUGCCGUAGCUAACGCAUUAAGUACCCCGCCUGGGGAGUACGGCCGCAAGGCUAAAACUCAAAGAAAUUGACGGGGGCCCGCACAAGCGGCGGAGCAUGUGGAUUAAUUCGAUGCAACGCGAAGAACCUUACCUGGGUUUGACAUGCACAGGACGCCAGUAGAGAUAUUGGUUCCCUUGUGGCCUGUGUGCAGGUGGUGCAUGGCUGUCGUCAGCUCGUGUCGUGAGAUGUUGGGUUAAGUCCCGCAACGAGCGCAACCCUUAUCUUAUGUUGCCAGCGCGUAAUGGCGGGGACUCGUGAGAGACUGCCGGGGUCAACUCGGAGGAAGGUGGGGAUGACGUCAAGUCAUCAUGCCCCUUAUGUCCAGGGCUUCACACAUGCUACAAUGGCCGGUACAAAGGGCUGCGAUGCCGUGAGGUGGAGCGAAUCCUUUCAAAGCCGGUCUCAGUUCGGAUCGGGGUCUGCAACUCGACCCCGUGAAGUCGGAGUCGCUAGUAAUCGCAGAUCAGCAACGCUGCGGUGAAUACGUUCCCGGGCCUUGUACACCCCGCCCGUCA